AAAACAAGCGGUGAGUGCUUUGGGGUGGGGUGACUGCGUACCUUUUGUAUAAUGGGUCAGCGACUUAUAUUCUGUAGCAAGGUUAACCGUAUAGGGGAGCCGAAGGGAAACCGAGUCUUAACUGGGCGUUAAGUUGCAGGGUAUAGACCCGAAACCCGGUGAUCUAGCCAUGGGCAGGUUGAAGGUUGGGUAACACUAACUGGAGGACCGAACCGACUAAUGUUGAAAAAUUAGCGGAUGACUUGUGGCUGGGGGUGAAAGGCCAAUCAAACCGGGAGAUAGCUGGUUCUCCCCGAAAGCUAUUUAGGUAGCGCCUCGUGAACUCAUCUUCGGGGGUAGAGCACUGUUUCGGCUAGGGGGUCAUCCCGACUUACCAACCCGAUGCAAACUGCGAAUACCGAAGAAUGUUAUCACGGGAGACACACGGCGGGUGCUAACGUCCGUCGUGAAGAGGGAAACAACCCAGACCGCCAGCUAAGGUCCCAAAGUCACAGUUAAGUGGGAAACGAUGUGGGAAGGCUCAGACAGCCAGGAUGUUGGCUUAGAAGCAGCCAUCAUUUAAAGAAAGCGUAAUAGCUCACUGGUCGAGUCGGCCUGCGCGGAAGAUGUAACGGGGCUAAACUGUGCACCGAAGCUGCGGCAGCGACGCUUAUGCGUUGUUGGGUAGGGGAGCGUUCUGUAAGCCUGCGAAGGUGUCCUGUGAGGGAUGCUGGAGGUAUCAGAAGUGCGAAUGCUGACAUAAGUAACGAUAAUGCGGGUGAAAAGCCCGCUCGCCGGAAGACCAAGGGUUCCUGUCCAACGUUAAUCGGGGCAGGGUGAGUCGACCCCUAAGGCGAGGCCGAAAGGCGUAGUCGAUGGGAAACGGGUUAAUAUUCCCGUACUUGGUGUUACUGCGAAGGGGGGACGGAGAAGGCUAUGUUGGCCGGGCGACGGUUGUCCCGGUUUAAGCGUGUAGGCUGGUUUUCCAGGCAAAUCCGGAAAAUCAAG
rnacentral:rRNA from 1 species